CUCUUAUCAAGAGCUGGCUGAGGGAUUUGGCCCUAUGAAGCCCAGCAACCGACCAUAAUACCGUUAUUAAACGGGGCGCAGAAUGCGCCGGAUGAUCAAUCCAGCAAGGCACGGUGCUAAUUCCAACAGAAAGAUAAUCUUUCUGGGAGAUAAGAG
rnacentral:ncRNA from 2 species